rnacentral:lncRNA from 1 species
UUUAUUUGCAGUUUCAGUCCUCCUUUCGAAAUAUUUACUACUCCAGGUUGAAACAUAUUUACUGUGUGGAUUAACAUGUGCAGAUGCAUGCAUAUCAGUGGCAUAUUUAUCUCGUCGAUCUACUUAGUCUCGCUCCUUUUAAAGUACAUGCAACUCAACUUGAUUUGUAUCUUCUAUGUGGAAUUAUAAGAAUUGAAUAACUACUGUUGCCUCGAAUUCAGCUUGGGCUUCAUAUUUCAUGUGACUGAGUUUUUUUUAACAUAUCUUCGUAACAUGAUCAGCAUCGCUAAUAAAUAUCUAGAAAAAGGACAUGU